rnacentral:rRNA from 1 species
GACGAACGCUGGCGGCGUGCUUAACACAUGCAAGUCGAGCGGUAAGGCCCUUUCGGGGUACGACGAGCGGCGAACGGGUGAGUAACACGUGGGUGACCUGCCCUCAGCUCUGGGAGUAAGCCUGGGAAACCGGGUCUAAUACCGGAUAUGACUCCAUGACGCAUGUUGUGGGGUGGAAAGCCUUGUGCGGCUGAGGAUGGGCCCGCGGCCUAUCAGCUUGUUGGUGGGGUGAUGGCCUACCAAGGCGACGACGGGUAGCCGGCCUGAGAGGGCGACCGGCCACACUGGGACUGAGACACGGCCCAGACUCCUACGGGAGGCAGCAGUGGGGAAUCUUGCGCAAUGGGCGAAAAGCCUGACGCAGCGACGCCGCGUGAGGGAUGACGGCCU